CCUACGGGAGGCAGCAGUGAGGAAUAUUGGUCAAUGGACGAGAGUCUGAACCAGCCACGUAGCGUGAAGGAUGACUGCCCUAUGGGUUGUAAACUUCCUUUAUAUGGGAAUAAAACGUUCCACGUGUGGGAUUUUGUAUGUACCAUAUGAAUAAGGAUCGGCUAACUCCGUGCCAGCAGCCGCGGUAAUACGGAGGAUCCGAGCGUUAUCCGGAUUUAUUGGGUUUAAAGGGAGCGUAGGUGGAUUGUUAAGUCAGUUGUGAAAGUUUGCGGCUCAACCGUAAAAUUGCAGUUGAAACUGGCAGUCUUGAGUACAGUAGAGGUGGGCGGAAUUCGUGGUGUAGCGGUGAAAUGCGUAGAGAUCACGAAGAACUCCGAUUGCGAAGGCAGUUCACUGGACUGCAACUGACACUGAGGCUCGAAAGUGUGGGUAUCAAACAGGAUUAGAUACCCCAGUAGUC
rnacentral:rRNA from 1 species